rnacentral:rRNA from 1 species
UAAGGAAUAUUGGUCAAUGGACGCAAGUCUGAACCAGCCAUGCCGCGUGAAGGAUGAAGGUCCUCUGGAUUGUAAACUUCUUUUAUCUGGGACGAAAACGGGAUUUUUAUCUCAAUUGACGGUACCAGAGGAAUAAGCACCGGCUAACUCCGUGCCAGCAGCCGCGGUAAUACGGAGGGUGCGAGCGUUAUCCGGAUUUACUGGGUUUAAAGGGUGCGUAGGUGGGCUUAUAAGUCAGUAGUGAAAUCUCCGAGCUUAACUUGGAAACUGCCGUUGAUACUAUAGGUCUUGAAUUAUCUGGAGGUAAGCGGAAUAUGUCAUGUAGCGGUGAAAUGCUUAGAUAUGACAUAGAACACCAAUUGCGAAGGCAGCUUACUACAUAUAAAUUGACGCUGAGGCACGAAAGCGUGGGGAUCAAACA